UCUCCUUUCCUCCUCCUCCUUCUCUUUUCAUGCUUUCUCUCUCCUCUCGCAAGCUCUCCUUUCCUACUCUUCUCUUCUACUUGUGUAUGUCGUUUACGGUGAUGCUUCAAGGUCAAAUUAAUGGUUUUUAAGGUCAAAUUCGACCAUGAAAAUCCUAAAUCUAGGGUUUUUGUGGUCGAAUUUUUCCUUGUUAAACCAAUUCGAGGUGAAUUUUGAAGUGUUUUAUCUAAAGAUUUUUCUGCAUGAUUGAGCAAUUUCAAAGCAAAAAUGGAGAGAGAAAAUGGCAGAUGAAGAAAGAGAAAAUGAUGAAUUUUUUUUUGUUUUAUAUUUUUGUACUGGGGUAGGCAGUGGCAAACCGGCAAUUACUCUUUACUAUGAAGCAUGUGGUUAAUGGGUUUAUCUAUAAGGGUUUUGAACUGCUGGGCAUUUGAGGGAUGCCAAUACUCCCUUCAAAAGCCACCGCUUCAAAA